UGAAUUUAAACUCUGAUGUUGGAAGGAUCCCACAUCGGGAAGCUAACAUAAGAGGGGAUGCGAAGCUGGCUUUAAAUAGAGAGAACCAUGAGGAGAGUAGAGGUACCUUUCUUGGCUGAUCCCUUUCGCUGUAUGGCGUGCUCGUUUGGGUUGGGCGUCGGCUAAGAGUGCUUGGAGCGUGGAUUAACUCCAGUCUCCUAUCAGGUGUGUAUUUCUUACUACUCUAGCUGUAGGAUGGCUAUUUCGGGCCGCGAUGGGCCGAAAGGGGUCAUGUGGGCCUAAUGGGCCUACGUGCCCAAUUGGAUAAGUUGUUUGAUUGUGUAGUAAAUAUUGGGCUAAAUUAGGUGAAUCUAAUAUUUGUGGCUAGAUUUGGGCUAAAAGGGCCACACGAGCGUGUGGGCCCAUUUGGGCCGAGAAUGGGCUUUAGGGCCAUUAGUAUUGUUAUCCAUGUUUAGAAUACUUUACUUUACUAAUUAUUAAAAUACCCUCGACUUGUAAAAUUACCAAAGUACCCCCGAUUUACAUAAUUACCGUUUUACCCUCAAUUUAUAGAAUUACGUUGAAUUUAAACUCUGAUGUUGGAAGGAUCCCACAUCGGGAAGCUAACAUAAGAGGGGAUGCGAAGCUGGCUUUAAAUAGAGAGAACCAUGAGGAGAGUAGAGGUACCUUUCUUGGCUGAUCCCUUUCGCUGUAUGGCGUGCUCGUUUGGGUUGGGCGUCGGCUAAGAGUGCUUGGAGCGUGGAUUAACUCCAGUCUCCUAUCAGGUGUGUAUUUCUUACUACUCUAGCUGUAGGAUGGCUAUUUCGGGCCGCGAUGGGCCGAAAGGGGUCAUGUGGGCCUAAUGGGCCUACGUGCCCAAUUGGAUAAGUUGUUUGAUUGUGUAGUAAAUAUUGGGCUAAAUUAGGUGAAUCUAAUAUUUGUGGCUAGAUUUGGGCUAAAAGGGCCACACGAGCGUGUGGGCCCAUUUGGGCCGAGAAUGGGCUUUAGGGCCAUUAGUAUUGUUAUCCAUGUUUAGAAUAUUUUACUUUACUAAUUAUUAAAAUACCCUCGACUUGUAAAAUUACCAAAGUACCCCCGAUUUACAUAAUUACCGUUUUACCCUCAAUUUAUAGAAUUACCGUUUUACCCUCGAUUUAUAGAAUUACUAUUUUACUAUUGAUUUACAGAAUUACUGUUUUACCCUCGAUUUACAAAAUUACUAAAAUACCCUAGGUUUACAAAAUUACCAAAAUACCCUCGAUCAGUAAAAUUACCAAAAUACCCUGGUCUGUAAAAUUGCUAAAAUACCCCUGGUUUGUAAAAUUACCAAAAUACCCCUAAUUUGUAAAAUUACCAAAAUACCACUGGUUUGUGAAAUUACUGAAAUAUACUCAAUUUGUAAAAUUACCAAAAUACCUUAAUUUACAAAAUUAUAGAAAUACCCUUAACUUUCUAAAAAUUAUAGAAAUACCAUUAGUUUAUAAAAUUACUGAAAUACCCUUGGUUUGUAGAUUUACCAAAACACCCUUGUAGGGUGAAAUGACUAAAAUACCUCUAUCAGGUAAAAAGAUCGUAAAGCCCCUGUAGGGUAAAGUGACCCUAAAGCCCCUAUAGGGUAAAGUGACCGUAAUACCCCUGUAUGGUAAAAUGACGAAUAUGCCCUUAUGUUUCGUAUGACUGAUGUGCUUAGGAUUUACAUAUAUUGAUCUUGGAUUAGUUAAGUUUGAGUGACAGGUGGUGGUUAUCAUAGGCGAUUGAUUUUGAAACGUUUCAACUUCAACCCGUAACAGGUGUGUACUAACCCUCGUAAUAGCUUAGAUUAAUAUUUGCUGAGAAGCCGAAAUGCUAAAAUACCGGUAUUUCGGGAACUUGUAAUGUUGCGUUUGGGUAUAGAUGCGAUAAAUAUGAUAAGAUCGGUGUUGGGAUCGAUGGAACAUGUAAGAACUCAAUUUUGUGCACGAUGGUAAGUUGGGCCUUAAUGGGCUGGAAUCGGGCCCAUUUGGGUAAAAUUGAUAGAAAAUAGAAUCUGGAAAAGUUGCAUGUUAACACUGUUAGUACUGUUGUAAAAUUUGGAUUAUAUGGGCUUAAUAGGCUAAAUCGGCAUUCGUAGGGCCCAUUAGAGGUUUUGGGCCCAAAAGCCCGAGUUUGAUAAAGUGGGUUAAAGAUCAUUGUUUAAACACUCAGAAAUAUUGAUAAUUGUUGAUGAACAUGGAAAACCCUGAUAUUUGGUAAAAUUACGAAAUUACCCUUAUAAUGUGAAAAAUAACUGUUUUGCCCUUGUGGGCAAGUGACUGACUUGGACUGUGUGGUUGACGGAUUUGAUUGUGAAUACAUGUUGGUGAUAUGAAUGACUUGGCUGUGAUUGUUUGAUUCAAACAUGGGCAUGACAUUCUGCAUACAUGACAUGUUGCAUGGGUUGGGUUUUAUAAAUGGAGGAAGUGCUAAAAGGGUUAUCCCCCAGUUUACCGAAAAGGGCUUUGCCCCAGUUUAUCAAAAGGGCUUUGCCCCAGUUAUUAAAAGAGGCUAGGCCUCCAGAUAUAUGAUAAAGCAGCUAUGCUGCCAGUGGUGUGUUGGUUGGGUGGGUUGAAUCAUUCCCCACAUGGUGUGUUGGUUGGUACGGGUGGAGAGUAGCGGAUGAUGGGUCGAGUAGUCUCCCCAAAUGGGCUUUCAUACAUCCAUUGACAUUACAUGUAAUAUUGAAAUGGGCCUAAGGGCCAUACCGUUUACAGUAAAGGCUUCAGCCCAAUGAUAUGAUUUAUGAAAAGGCUUCGGCCUAGAGAUAAGAUUUAUGAUAAGGCUUCGGCCUAGUGAUAUGAUUUAUGAAAAGGCUUCUGCCCAGAGAUAUGAUUUAUGAUAAGGCUUCUGCCCAGUGAUAUGAUUUAUGAUAAGGCUUCGGCCCAGUAUAUGUCAAGACUAAAUAGGGCUUUGGCCCAGAUUGUACUGAUACUGUGUUUUCACUGUUUGUUUGUUAUUGGGAUUACACACUGAGUUUUCGUAAACUCAUCUUGUUUCUAACUGUACAGGUAAUCCCUAAGCUUAGAUGGUUUGGAGCUGCGAGGGACUCGGAGAUGGCCACACUACUAUUUUUGGUUUUUUAAAUUGCAAUAAGUAGCCGAUUUAUUUCUUUAUAAGUUUUAUCUUAUUAAUAUUAUUAUUUGGUUUUGGGUUGUAAUAAGGCCAUUUUAAUUAUUUUUCUAGGAUUAUUUUAUUUUAUACCCUAUAUUUUUCUGAUAACAAUAUGAGUUAGACCUAGGGCGCAUUUCCAAAAUGAUAAUUGUUUUCAAAAUAAACGCAAUGAUACAACUAAUCGGUUUAUCAAAAAUAUCGACUUAAAUGAAUUGCAACUCGUUUUUUUCAAAACUAACCUAGCACCAAAGUGUGGCAAUGGUUGUGGCAUGUCUAGGAUUGGAUCCAAUCAAG
rnacentral:lncRNA from 1 species